rnacentral:misc_RNA from 1 species
GUGAAUCAUCAAAUUUUUGAACGCAAAUUGCACUCUCUUCUAAGAGUAUGCCUGUUUGAGGGUCAGUCUAAGAAAAAUCGACAUAGCUGCUGUUUCGCGUUGACAUUCGUCGGAAAGUGGGUCAUCGUAAACCUGUGGGUUUUAAGCGGCUUAAAAUUUUCUUUACGAUUCGACGAACGGUUCUAAGAUGUUACUUCUUACACACGUUUAAGGUAGCGAUCUUUAUUAGACGGGGCCGUUGCAUCGGAUCGCGUCCAUAAAUAUUACGGUA